AAAGGGCCCGCUUUGGGCCUGGCCAGCGGCAGAGGCCAACUCGGGCCAAUGCUGCCACCUGCCGUGGGCGCGGAGAACAGGGCGCGCCGCCUCGGCCUUCCUGUUUUGUUCGACCCUCUGCACCCAUGCAAGGAAGGUUCUUCGCCAGCCAGACCAGGGCUAUUUUAAAAGACCAGCGCCUAUCCCCAACCAUUAAGCCCAGCGAGGCCCCGACAGUGGGGAGGGGAGGGACCGGACCGAGAUCGCUUUGCUCACGAGCGCCAUCUGCCGAGCCUGCGCGGGAAAUGCGUGAAUAUCCGGCACAAUGCAGGUUACUCACCCCCAGGAAGGGACAGAUCCACAGGUGGGGGUCUGUACCCGAGAGACCACUAUCUUCAGAGAACAGCCCUGGCUGUGACCCGGGAACUUUGCAACUCUGAAUUGUCUCGAAGAGUACUCAACAAAGAGAUCUGUCCCUGGAGACUGCUCUAGGCAGAGGAAGAGGCCGAGGGAGGCAGCGAAUGAAUUCCCAGGUUGUAAAGGAAAGAGGCUGAGUUUUCUCCUCUGCGGCAUGCUGCAGCCAUGACAUACAGCACUGCUAUCGCAUUAAAGUACCAGGGUCAACUAACUGAUCAUGGACUGAAACAUCUGAAACUAUGACUCAAACCUUCAAGUUGCUCAUCUCAGUUACUCUGUCACAAUAGCAGAAAACUAACCAACACUCUCCCACCAGUGGCUAUCAUAGCCCCUUCUAGCUCAUGUAUGUAGAGUAUUCUCAGAUGAGCUUGGAAUGCCUUUUAAAGAAGAGCAAGCCCCCAGAAGUCUACCAGCUCCUAUUCAAGCCAUGUGAAGACAGGAAACAGCUGCCUGUACCAGUAUUUCCAGAACUAUGUCAAAGAAGAGACAAGGAGAAAAAAAAAGUCCUACUAUAGGGUUCAGAGAAAGAAGCAAAAAGCAAUUUGAUAAUUUUUAUUUUAGAGCCUGUGUUGCAUGGGAGCUGUAGACAUCCAGGCGUGAAGACUAAGGGACAUACCAUAAAUCCUUAGGGAGGGAGGCAGAGGUCUAGGGUAUAAAUCCAGUAGUAGAGUGCUACCUUAGCAUGCACAAGACUCUGUGUUCAAUCCCUAGGACCAAAAGGUGGGGAAGGGCUGAGCAAUCCUGGGAAAUAACCUUAAAAGGUUGGCUACUCUUUGUAUACUCUAUAAAUCAAGAUGAUUGUCUAGUUUUGUACAUUUUGCUGAGGUUAUUAAAUUAGCUUUCCAUUCCUGAGCACAA